rnacentral:misc_RNA from 1 species
AGGAAUCGUUCUCUUAACAGGCGCAAAUCGGGAGACCGGUUUGAUCGAAGCAGUCUUAAUGCAAGUGAUGCGGAGAAGAAUCAACAGCAUGCCUCUCCAAGAAAUAUUCCAAUUAUAGAUCAAGGUGAUGUAGGGAGCAGCAAUCUCCUGAGUGAGAACUCUCGCCCAGGCUUAAUAGCUUUAGAGGGUUGCUGUCGCAGUGAGGCUUCCCAGCUUUUGAAUGAUCGCUGGGCACUGGCAAUGCAUAACUACAAUGAUGUAUCCAUAGAUUUAUCUG